GCUCUGGGCCCUGACUAACACUCCAGCAUAGGGGGCAGAGAGAGAGUCUGGUAACUGUCUCAUGAUGCAUUCUCCCUCCUACAGCCUCCCCAGCCUCCUGGACCAUCCCAAGUAACCACCUGUUUGAUCCUGAGACCUCUCCUCCCUCAAGCCCCUGCCCAGAACCCCCUUGGCACACUCCUAGGUCCUCAGAGGCCUCUCUAGCCUGCACCAGGGUUUCCCCACAGCAGGCUGCAUCAGUUGUGGCAAGGCCUCGAAGGAGCAGGCAUAGGUUGGCCAGCAGCAGCAGCUCAGAGGGGGAGGACAGUGCUGGGCCCCAAAUGCCAUCCCAGAAGAGGCCAAGGUGCUUUGCCCCAGCACAACGGGAUGAGGCCAGGACAGCUUGCCCUGCCAGCAUCAGGGAGGCGAGUACAGUGAGUGCUGGCCAGGCAGCCUAUCAGGCAGCCAUCCGAGGUGUGGGCAGUGCCCAGAGCCGCUGCCUCAGGCAGGGCCCUUGGGGCCCAGGUGAAGCCCCUACACCCCAGACAGCACUCAUUCCGGAGGAGGAAUACCUGGCUGGAGACUGGCUGGAAUUGGACACACCCCUGCCCCGCAGCCGCCCAUUCCGCCUGCCCCGCCCCCAGGGCAGUGGGGACAGCAACAGGCCCAGUACUGUAGGGCCAGACGAUGAGGAACACCCUGCCAGGCCCCGAACCCGGACCAGGCAGAGCCGCCUGACCUGUCUUGAGAGUUGCAGCACACUGGACAGAGCUGGAGGCAGCAGCUUGGCUGCAGAGCUCUCAGAGAAUCCCAAUGUGCUCAGGGUCCCUGGGGAAAGCCCUGCAACAGGCCAGCCCUCGGUGGGUGACAAGCUGGUAGCAGAGCUAACCCCCAGCUUGGGCAGGUGGAGAUGGAGGCCUCUGUCUUUCCUGACUGCCCUGUCCCCUGUUCCUCCUAUCAGGGUCUAGUACAGCCUCCUCCCAUCCGGAUUCGAGUUCAAGUUCAGGAUAACCUUUUCCUUGUCCCUGUCCCACACAGGUAUGGUGACAUCUACCCUCUCUGAACCCCAGUCCCCCCUGCCCACCAUGCAGCCCCUUGCCUGAACCCUCAGUGGUAGCACCGUACACAGUUCCUUUGUGAUGACUGCCUCGGUGGCGUGUCCCUACUGUUCCCUAGGGUCCCUGAGUGAAUGUGGCCUGGGCAGUCCUAUAGUCCCUAGGAGUCGUCUGAGGAGCAGGCUGCAGGGACAGAAGGCUGCUGUUCA
rnacentral:lncRNA from 1 species